rnacentral:rRNA from 1 species
AAUAUUGGUCAAUGGAGGCAACUCUGAACCAGCCACGUCGCGUGAAGGAUGACGGCCCUACGGGUUGUAAACUUCUUUUAUACAGGAAUAAAGUGAGUCACGUGUGACUUUUUGCAUGUACUGUAUGAAUAAGGAUCGGCUAACUCCGUGCCAGCAGCCGCGGUAAUACGGAGGAUCCAAGCGUUAUCCGGAUUUAUUGGGUUUAAAGGGUGCGCAGGCGGAAGAUUAAGUCGGCGGUGAAAUUUUGCAGCUCAACUGUAAAAGUGCCAUCGAUACUGGUUUUCUUGAGUGUGGAUGAAGUAGGCGGAAUUUGUGGUGUAGCGGUGAAAUGCAUAGAUAUCAUCCAGAACACCGAUUGCGAAGGCAGGUGACUGUACCUUAAUCGACGCUGAGGCACGAAAGCGUGGGGAGCGAACAGG